rnacentral:piRNA from 1 species
UGAACAGUUAGCCAGGUUGUGAAUGC